rnacentral:tRNA from 1 species
GAACGUAUGGCUUAGUUGGUCGGACCGCUUGGACGGUUUCCCUGAGGCGCGGCUUCAAAUCUCGCUACGUUCA